GACGAACGCUGGCGGCGUGCCUAACACAUGCAAGUCGAACGGAGUUAAGGAAGCUUGCUUCCUUAACUUAGUGGCGAGCGGGUGAGUAACGCGUGAGGAACCUGCCUUUCAGUGGGGGGACAACAGUUGGAAACGACUGCUAAUACCGCAUAAUACAGUUGAACCGCAUGAUUUAACUGUCAAAGCUUUAUGUGCUGAAAGAUGGCCUCGCGUCUGAUUAGCUAGUUGGUGGGGUAACGGCCCACCAAGGCGACGAUCAGUAGCCGGUCUGAGAGGAUGAACGGCCACAUUGGGACUGAGAUACGGCCCAG
rnacentral:rRNA from 1 species